AUAUUUUACAAUGGGCGAAAACCUGAUCCAGCCAUGCCCCGGGUGUGGAGGAGGGCUUCGGGUUGUAAAGCACUUUAAGUCGGGAGAAAGAGCAGUACGUUAAUCACUUGCUGUUUCGACGGAACUAUGUGUAUAAGCACCGGCUAACUUCCUUCCAGCAGCCGCGGUAAUACGUAGGGUGCAAGCGUUAAUCGGAAUUACUGGGCGUAAAGCGCGUGUAGGUGGUUCGGAAAGUUGGAAGUGAAAGCCCAGGGCUUAACCUUGGAACUGCAUUUAAAACUGACGAGCUAGAGUAUGGUAGAGGGUAGUGGAAUUUCCUGUGUAGCGGUGAAAUGCGUAGAUAUAGGAAGGAACACCAGUGGCGAAGGCGACUACCUGGACUGAUACUGACACUGAGGUGCGAAAGCGUGGGGAGCAAACAGG
rnacentral:rRNA from 1 species